rnacentral:rRNA from 1 species
CAAUAGCGUAUAUUAAAGUUGUUGCGGUUAAAAAGCUCGUAGUUGGAUUUCUGCUGAGGACGACCGGUCCGCCCUCCGGGUCGGAGCAUCUGGUUCGGUCCGUUGGCUAUCUUCUUGGAGAACGUAGCUGCACUUGACUGUGUGGUGCGGUAUCCAGGACUUUUACUUUGAGGAAAUUAGAGUGUUUCAAGCAGGCACACGCCUUGAAUACAUUAGCAUGGAAUAAUAAGAUAGGACCUUGGUUCUAUUUUGUUGGUUUCUAGAGCUGAGGUAAUGAUUAAUAGGGAUAGUUGGGGCAUUAGUACUUAACUGUCAGAGGUGAAAUUCUCCGAUUUGUUAAAGACUAACUUAUGCGAAAGCAUUUGCCAAGGAUGUUUUUCAUUAAUCAAGAAC